UACGAAGGGGCUAGCGUUGCUCGGAAUCACUGGGCGUAAAGCGCACGUAGGCGGAUUGUUAAGUCAGGGGUGAAAUCCUGGAGCUCAACUCCAGAACUGCCUUUGAUACUGGCGAUCUUGAGUCCGGGAGAGGUGAGUGGAACUGCGAGUGUAGAGGUGAAAUUCGUAGAUAUUCGCAAGAACACCAGUGGCGAAGGCGGCUCACUGGCCCGGUACUGACGCUGAGGUGCGAAAGCGUGG
rnacentral:rRNA from 1 species